AGUGAACGCUGGCGGCAGGCCUAACACAUGCAAGUCGAGCGGCAGCACAGUAAGAGCUUCCUCUUACGGGUGGCGAGUGGCGUACGGGUGAGGAGUACAUCGGAAUCUACUUAUUCUUUGGGGAACACGUGGGGAAACUUACGCUAAUAGUGCUUACGCCCUACGGGUGAAAGCAGUGGAUCUUCGGACCUUGCGCGAGUGAAUGAGCCGAUGUCGGAUUAGCUAGUUGGCGGGGUAAAGGCCCACCAAGGCGACGCUCCGGAGCUGGGCUGAGAGGAUGAUCAGCCACACUGGAACUGAGACACGGUCCAGACUCCUACGGGAGGCAGCAGUGGGGAAUAUUGGACAAUGGGCGGAAGCCUGAUCCAGCCAUGCCGCGUGGGUGAAGAAGGCCUUCGGGUUGUAAAGCCCUUUUGUUGGGAAAGAAAAGCAGCAGGUUAAUACCCCGCUGUUCUGACGGUACCCAAAGAAUAAGCACCGGCUAACUUCGUG
rnacentral:rRNA from 1 species